UCGAAUACAAUCCGAGCGAUCCUUUCUACGUGGAAUCCGUAAAAUGCAUCACCACCUCAAUUUUAUUAGGCACAUGUCUGACAUUAUUUACAAGAGCGGGUGAUCUCGCGAACGAUACCUAGAACGUAUUUACCAAAAGGGUAUUCAUAUUAGAUUUUCGAUCUCGCAACGCCAGCCGGCUGUAUCGAGAAUGUCAGCGAUACGUACGAUACUUUAUUCGAGUCUAUUCGUGUACGCCGCUCGCCGCGACACGGAAGAGUGUCAAAUAAAUACAGGUUGAAAUAUAUCAGCUGUCGGGUUCUGUGAUCCUGGUAUAUACGUGCCAUUUGAAGAAUGAAUUUUUACUUGUUUUUUGUGUUAUUCGGAUAUUUUUUUACGUGGAGCAGCGGGAUGCUGUACCGGCGGGACUCCGAUAAUGUUUUGAAACCCGAUCUCCUGCCAGUAUCCUCGACGGUGAUGCCACUGCCAUUCUACUCGGUAUUCAGUUAUGAAAAAAAAUUACUCCGAGACAAAUAUAAGAAACGACCCCAAGGGAAAAUCUCGCUAGUUACUAAGCAGCCGAAAUAAGACACAUAUUAGCCAACAUUUAAGAAUUUUGUUCUUUUUUCUACGAAGGAGGAAAAUUAGUAUAAUUAAAUUGUAUUUAUUUGGAAGGAAUAAACAUUCUAUAAUAAAUAAACACACAAACACAAUUAAAUUAAAUAUUUGUAUAAGCUAUGUCUUCUUGUCGUCUCUCUAUUUCUAUAUACAGUACUAUUGUAGACACUACAUUAACGUAACGUAACGUGUCGUUUAAUUCUAAAUAAUAUACAAGUUAUUCUUUGUUACCUAUAUAAUAUAUUAUUUGCCAAAAUGUUUUUUUUU